AUGGUGUAAUGGUUAGCACUCUGGA
rnacentral:piRNA from 4 species